GUUUUUAGAUGGAAAUUAUUUUCUCAGAGACCCUGCCUGCGAGGAAGUGGGUGUUGAUAAGUAAGGCAAAAUAAGAAAGCACAGCCUACCACACAGAAGACUUUUAGAAGACAUCUGAAGACAACCCUGAGAAGUUUUUAAUGGCUGAUGUUUUAUUUUGUUUUUAAUAUUUUGUUGGGAGCUUCCCAUAGUAGCUGGGGCAACCCAGAUAGAGAAGAUUCAAAGUCAAAUGAAUUACAAGGCAGAAAAUAAUCACUCUUUCAUAAGGUCCAUGCUGUAAAUUACAUCGUUCUAGAAACUGGACCCAAAAAUGAAGAUUGACUAGCAGUCAUUUCAGAACAGGCAAAAAGUAAGUACGGUACAUAAUCAACUUAUUUUUGCAAGAAAUUAAGAAGUUGCCUUGUAUCUAACUAUUGGUUCACUUAGCUUAGUGCAGAGAUGGGGGGUGCAACUUAAUUGAGAAGUGGAAUCACAGAAUUAUGGAGCUGGAAGGGAACACAAGGGUCAUUUAGUCCAACCCUCUGCAAUGCAGGAAUCUUUUUGAAAUGAAAGCAAGGAAGGAGUCAUUCAAGUGUUUUAAGGAUUGAUUGAUUGAUUGAUUGAUUGAUUGAUGAUUGACUGAUUGACUGAUUGACUGACUGAUUGAUUGAUUGAUUGAUUGACUGAUGGAUGUAUUUGAAUUUUUCAUGAGUUUGAUCGUCACUGUUCAUCAUUUUUAGUAGUUGCAAUGAAAAUGUUUACAUAAACUGU
rnacentral:lncRNA from 1 species